rnacentral:rRNA from 1 species
CGUGUCGUGAGAUGUUGGGUUAAGUCCGCAACGAGCGCAACCCUACGUUUAGUUGCUAACAGGUGAAGCUGAGCACUCUAGACGAACUGCCGUUGACAAAACGGAGGAAGGUGGGGAUGACGUCAAAUCAUCAUGCCCCUUAUGUUCUGGGCUACACACGUGCUACAAUGGCCGGUACAGACGGAGGCGAAGCCGCGAGGCGGAGCAAAUCCGAAAAAGCCGGUCUCAGUUCGGAUUGCAGGCUGCAAUUCGCCUGCAUGAAGUCGGAAUCGCUAGUAAUCGCAGGUCAGCAUACUGCGGUGAAUACGUUCCCGGGUCUU